CAAUAAGCGGAGGAAAAGAAACCAACAGGGAUUGCCUUAGUAACUGCGAGUGAAGCGGCAAGAGCUCAAAUUUGAAAUCUGGCGCCUUUGGCGUCCGAGUUGUAAUUUGGAGAGGCAUCUUCGGGUGCGGCGCCGGCCUAAGUUCCUUGGAACAGGACGUCAUAGAGGGUGAGAAUCCCGUUCUCGGCUGGCUGUCCGCGUCCAUGUGAAGUGUCUUCGACGAGUCGAGUUGUUUGGGAAUGCAGCUCAAAAUGGGUGGUAAACUCCAUCUAAAGCUAAAUACUGGCGAGAGACCGAUAGCGCACAAGUAGAGUGAUCGAAAGAUGAAAAGCACUUUGAAAAGAGAGUUAAAAAGUACGUGAAAUUGUUGAAAGGGAAGCGCUUGAGACCAGACUCGGCGGGAGGUAUUCAUCGUCCCUUCUGGGGCGUGCACUUGCCUCUCGUCGGGCCAGCAUCGGUUGCGGCGGCGGGAUAAAGACCCGGGGAACGUGGCUGCUCUCGGGCAGUGUUAUAGCCCCGGGUGUCAUGCCGCCUGCUGCGACCGAGGACC
rnacentral:rRNA from 1 species